AUACGAGUCUCGGCUCUGUCCGUCUCCCGCCUCCACUUUAUAGGCCCCCUUCAAAUGUUCCAGCGUCACAGAGGAGAUGUGAACUCGGCUGGGGAGGACCAGCAGGAUGCGAAAGAGAGAGAGAGAGCACUUCAAUAACAAUACACGGACGAGAAACAUGACAUCCUCUCGUGCAGCCCACAUGGACUGGACGAGGUUGUGGAAGUUGUUGGUGUUUUCGGCCUGGCCGCAGUUCGGACCCUUGAGCCUCUGGAUGAUCUCAGCCUUCAUCACACGAGCGAUGUGG